ACUGGUUCAGUGUGUGAGGUGGGCCUCUGUCAGGGCAGAGUGUCAGACUGGUUCAGUGUGUGAGGUGGGCCUCUGUCAGGGCAGAGUGUCAGACUGGUUCAGUGUGUGAGGUGGGCCUCUGUCAGGGCAGAGUGUCAGACUGGUUCAGUGUGUGAGGUGGGCCUCUGUCAGGGCAGAGUGUCAGACUGGUUCAGUGUGUGAGGUGGGCCUCUGUCAGGACAGAGUGUCAGACUGGUUCAGUGUGUGAGGUGGGCCUCUGUCAGGGCAGAGUGUCAGACUGGUUCAGUGUGUGAGGUGGGCCUCUGUCAGGGCAGAGUGUCAGACUGGUUCAGUGUGUGAGGUGGGCCUCUGUCAGGACAGAGUAUCAGACUGGUUCAGUGUGUGAGGUGGGCCUCUGUCAGGGCAGAGUAUCAGACUGGUUCAGUGUGUGAGGUGGGCCUCUGUCAGGACAGAGUGUCAGACUGGUUCAGUGUGUGAGGUGGGCCUCUGUCAGGGCAGAGUGUCAGACUGGUUCAGUGUGUGAGGUGGGCCUCUGUCAGGGCAGAGUGUCAGACUGGUUCAGUGUGUGAGGUGGGCCUCUGUCAGGGCAGAGUAUCAGACUGGUUCAGUGUGUGAGGUGGGCCUCUGUCAGGGCAGAGUGUCAGACUGGUUCAGUGUGUGAGGUGGGCCUCUGUCAGGGCAGAGUGUCAGACUGGUUCAGUGUGUGAGGUGGGCCUCUGUCAGGGCAGAGUGUCAGACUGGUUCAGUGUGUGAGGUGGGCCUCUGUCAGGGCAGAGUGUCAGACUGGUUCAGUGUGUGAGGUGGGCCUCUGUCAGGGCAGAGUGUCAGACUGGUUCAGUGUGUGAGGUGGGCCUCUGUCAGGGCAGAGUGUCAGACUGGUUCAGUGUGUGAGGUGGGCCUCCUCUGUUUUCUUCAGUGGAAAUGCAUGAGAGAUUCAGCAGGUGUUUGUGCUGCUGUUUAGGGUUGGGCGGUGUCCGUUCCUGUACCAUCCCGGGGUAUACCUUAGUUAUUUACCUGUUUCUCAUGAUGCUGUGAAGGACAGGAGUGAGUGAGGUGGUUCUUCUGGUCACAUGGGCUAGUGGAGACCAGCUGGAGGCUCCAGCCCAGGCCCUUCCAGGCCCAGGGAGUUCAUGUUUGCCAGUCUGCUGUCCCUGCCAGGGGGCACGCCUCUCACUUCUCUCUCCUCGAUCUC